rnacentral:rRNA from 1 species
AUUUUGGAUUCGACACGGCCGUGCUGUAUUGCAUUCAUCAUCGGUGGAGUUACAGAGAGGUUACAAGUUGUCCUGAAAAUUUACACAAGGACCCCUAGAAAUUAAAAGGGAAAAGCAAUCGAGUCCUCCAUCGCAACAACAGGUACUUCACCGCCGGCCGUCCUUCUUCUCGCCGGGGACAAUACCACAGGGACACCACUGCCGCCGCCUCGCCCUGCUCACCGCGCUGCUUGCCCGACCAUACUCGCCGCGCCACCGAACAGCCACGCUCGCACGCGCCGCUCUCCCGACCCUGGUUUCCGCACCGCCGCCCGGCCGUGCUCGCUGGUUCCUGGAGAGAGAGAGGGGCACCGCCGCGCACCGUACAGCGUUGGGCGGCCGACGCCGGAGGGAAGAGGCCGCCGCGCGCUCGAGGGAAGAGGCCGCCGCGCGCCCGAGGGAAGAGGCCGCCGCGCGCCCGAGGGAAGAGCCCGCCGCGCGCCCGAUGGAAGAAGUCGUCGAUGGAGUGAGCCGCCCCCGCGCGCCAUGCUCGCCGCCCUCACAUCUGCCAUGCUUGCUGCCCGCGCGGAUGGCCUGCUUGCCCGCACCGGCCAUGGAUGGAUGGAUUCAUUGCCCGCGCGUCCGCCAUGCUCGCUGCGUGUGCGGCCUCCCUGCUCCCCGCCCGUGCGGCCUCCCAGCACACCGCCCGUGCGGAUGGCUUGCUUGCCCGCGCCGGCCAUGGAUGGAUGGAUGCGUGUUGUGCUUGUGCGUUCCGUGGUGUGAGUGGCCGUGUGGUGUGCGGUGUGCGUGGGUGGGUCGGGUGUGGGGGCGUGCGUUGGUGGGUGGGUG